rnacentral:lncRNA from 1 species
AAGCCCAUGUCUCAGUACGAAAGCCCAUGUUCAGGUUUGAGUAUUUUGGUGUUUACGUAUGAAUACAUAUAUCCAUCGUAGGAAGAUAUCCAUGCACAUAUGCUCUCCAUGACUUCCUCAUAGCAUUCGGCCGGACAUGCAACGCGCAUGCAUCAGUCGUUGACUUGUACUCGAGGAGAUGCGUGAUGAGAGGGGAAACACAACAAAAGAUAGCAGGGCAACAAAACAGUGGAACAGCAGCUAAGGAGGCAUGCACUGAUGCUUUAUCCAACCAAAACUGUGGAUCAAACCCUACACGGACAUGAAUGCCCAGCAUACCAAUGGCCAGACACUGUUAGGAGACAGUCAAUCGGACAUGUCG